rnacentral:lncRNA from 1 species
CUGUGAUAAAAUAUUAUGACAUAUGACUUAAGGAAGGAAGGGAAAGCCAGGAGGUGGUGGCACACGCCUUUGAUCACAGCAGAGGCAAGCAGACCUCUGUGAGUUCGAGGCCAGCGUAGACUAAAGAGUGAGUUCCAGGACAGCCAGGACUGUUUUACGGAGAAACCCUGUCUAGAAAAACAAACAAACAAACAUACAUUAUGGCAAAGAAGUUGAGACACUCGGUGUCUGCAGUCAAGAAGAAAAACAGGCCCACAUUGUGGCACACACCUUUAAUCCUAGCACCUGGGAGGCAAAGGCAGGUAGAUCUCUGUGAGUUCGAGGUCAGCCUAGUCUACAUAAUGAGUUUCAGGCCAGCCAAGGGCUACAUAGUGAGACCUUGUCUCUGGGGGAAAAAAGAAGGAGGAGGAAGGAAGAGGAAGAGGAAGCCAGCAAUAAAUGCAUGGUGUUGCUGCGUUCACUUUCUCCUUUUUACACACUCCAGGAUCCCAGCCCAGAGAACCGUACCUAACUAACCAAGACAAUAACCCUCCACAGGGAUGUCCAGAGGCCAUCUCCCAGGUGUCAUCAAACUAACAACAGAGAUCAAUCAUCAUAGGUGCUGAGUGUACUGGGUCGAUACUGUGUGGGGACCGAGCAUGGCACUGGCUGGGUACUGGAUGUAUACUUGACCAUCACUGAGAGGGCACUGAUCUAGGCCACCACUCCUGUCUGGGACCUGGGUCUUCUACUGUGUCCUCCUGGUUUUCCAGCACAGCUGGACCCUGAGCUUUGCUCUAGCCAUCCCCUCCACAGAGUGCCUGAAGUUCUCCACCGUCACCUCACAGAACCCCACUCACCCUCCCCAGCUUUAGUGGAAUGACCUGUGGGUGACCACGUCAUCUGUCAAUCUCUAAUAAGGCUGAUGCCCGAGCAGACAUGAAUGUUCCAGUCAUCACAGCAAUAGCCAGCCUGGAAUCCAG